GUCUCUACUUGUAUUUUUUUCCUUGACCAGGAAAUUACUAGUUGAUGCAGUAGAUAACGUUUAAUCCAAGCCUCAGACACUCAUUAAAGUGGAAGUUUUGUAAAUGUUUACACCACUCUUAGUAAAUUGUGUUUGUUUCAUCUCUAGAAUUUUUUUUUUCCAAUGUCAUAUUAAUAGAAUAGUUCACUGUUCAAGUCAGAUCCCUCCAAGUGGUACUAAUAAUAGAAUAGUUCACUGUUCAACUCACAUCCCUCCAAGUGAUACUAUUUAUAAAUAUGACCAAUUCUAAUGUGCUGUUAUGCUAUAUCAAAUCUUAGAGACAUGGUGUCACUUGAAGAUACACUACAUAGCUACAUAAUGUUUUUGUGGAUGUUGAUUUUUAAAUUCAUU